ACAACUCUUAACGGUGGAUCACUCGGCUCGUGGGU
rnacentral:rRNA from 2 species